rnacentral:lncRNA from 1 species
AGGCCACACCCGAGGCCUCCCGGGUCUCAUCCACGCCUCUGGGUCCAUCACUAAACAGAAGGCACAAUCCCACUAACUCUUACUCCAUCGCUGCUCAUGAAACUCCUGCCAGUAAGGACUGGGUCAAGCACCUGAAAACCAGAGCUCGUCCGUGGCUUCACUUGUUUUGGACUAAGGAGCUGAGGAGCGUGCAAGACUGUACUUGGAGAAUCUGUUUCUUGCUGCCAUUUCGUCACUGAACACUAUUUUUUUUCUCCUUCUUUUUUUGUAAGAAAAGGAGAACACAUAAAACCCCACCAGAACAAACUCCACUCGGCCCUGAAAGUAUUUACAAUCACGGCCCUGAAAGUACUGAAAGUAUUUACAAUCACGUUACAGUUCAUUCACUGCUGCAGAACCUCUCUCCAGCGAUCAAGGUCGAAGGGAGCCGACGUCGCCCUCUAUCGGCUCCCUGCUGCACUAGAAGGUAAUUUAAACGAAAAGGCCCUUUGAAGCCAGUGUUCUCUAUUUUCUUCGAAACUCCAGGUUUUGGGGGCUUCUUUUCUGUUUGUUGUUUGUUUGCUCAGUCUAUGUUUUGAUUUGCUGGUGAGGGAAGGCAGAGAGAGGAAGUGGAGCAGGAGCCCAGCGCGUUUCUAUGGCCACCGCGACCACAGGCAGAGGGGGAGCCGUAGCAGGAAAGGCCAGGCCGCGCUCCGCACUGCGGGGGCCACGCCAACCUCCAUCCGACUCCCACAGAAGCGCCCACAAAAGGCACUUUCAUCACGUCCAGUGCCCGCUCCUGGGCCCACGGAAUGCAUUUGUUUUAGAGUCUCUGCAGAAACAAUGUUUCCACAUGCCAGCCACGCUCCGCAGACAGAAAGUUUCUUUGUGUUAGUGCCUGGUGUGAUGUGACCUCCACUGGUACAGCAUAGCCCGCCGCACCCCGGGGCCACAGCACUCUUCCAUCCCGCAGCCGCAUGAACCCCAGAAGGAGCUUCCACUGCAGAUAUUGACUGAGAAUCCUCCAUGUGCCAAGUACUGUUCAAAAACACUGGGAACCCAGCAGGGAUGAGCCACAAGUUUCCUUGUCUUUACGAAGCUUUCAUUCUGAGGGAGUGGAGAGAGACAAGCAAUAAACAACCAAUCAAAACAAA